rnacentral:rRNA from 1 species
CCUACGGGAGGCAGCAGUGAGGAAUAUUGGUCAAUGGCCGGAAGGCUGAACCAGCCAUGCCGCGUGAAGGUCAGUGCCCUAUGGGCGUUAAACUUCUUUUGUGCGGGAGCAAUAAUGGUCACGUGUGGCCAGACGAGAGUACCGUACGAAUAAGCAUCGGCUAACUCCGUGCCAGCAGCCGCGGUAAUACGGGGGGUGCAAGCGUUAUCCGGAUUUAUUGGGUUUAAAGGGUGAGUAGGCUGUGAGGUAAGUCAGCGGUGAAAUGCCCCCGCUCAACGGGGUGAAGUGCCAUUGAUACUGCCGUGCUGGAAGGCGGAUGCCGUGGGAGGAAGGUGUGGUGUAGCGGUGAAAUGCAUAGAUAUCACACAGAACACCGAUUGCGAAGGCAUCUCACGAAGCCGCGAUUGACGCUGAUGCACGAAAGCGUGGGUAUCAAACAGGAUUAGAUACCCGGGUAGUC